AUGCCGCAUUUUUAUUGCCCACAGACUAGGAAAUUCCCAGGUGGAGGAGCUCCACGGGUCGCCAGCGUGGCUGUUUCGACCAGCGUAGCUGUGCCGGCAGGUGCUGUUGCUUUGCCCCGCGUAGCUGCUUUGUCGGUGCCCUGGAGCAGCGGUUCUCCAUACAAAAUACACCGGUCCGGGUGCCCUUUUGGCGACACAUCCCUGGACCCUAAUCAUUUUGACUUCACGGUAACUGGGAGAGGGAGCUCCUCCCGGCGAGAGCAGAAACCACCUAAGAAGCCCAAAUCUCCCAGAGCUCCAGGAACUGGCAGAGGCCGGGACGCCCCAAAGGGAGCGGCACCACGAGACCCAAGGCGGCCACAUCAGAGGGUGUGCAGGUGAAAAGGGUCCUGGAAAAAAGCCCUGGGAAGCUCCUCUUCAAGAUGCCUUUCCAAACUUCGCCAGGGGGCAAGGCUCAGGGAGGUGGGGCCACCACAUCCACCCAGGUUAUGGUGAUCAAACGCCCCGGCAGGAAGCAAAAAGCCGAGGCCGACCCUCAGGCCAUUCCCAAGAAACGGAGCCGAAAGCCGGGGAGUGUGGUGGCAGCCGCUGCCGCCGAGGCCAAAAAGAAAGCUGUGAAGGAGUCUUCUAUCCGAUCUGUGCAGGAGACCGUACUCCCUCCCCAUCAAGAAGCGCAAGACCCGGGAGACGGUCAGCAUUGAGGUCAAGGAAGUGGUGAAGCCCCUGCUGGUGUCUACACUUGGUGAGAAGAGCGGGAAGGCACUGAAGACCUGUAAGAGCCCCGGGCGGAAAAGCAAGGAGAGCAGCCCCAAGGGGCGCAGCAGCAGCGCCUCCUCGCCCCGCAAGAAGGAGCACCACCACCAUCACCACCACUCAGAGUCCCCAAAGGCCCCGGUGCCACUGCUCCCACCCCUGCCCCCACCCCCACCUGAGCCCGAGCGCUCCGAGGACCCCACCAGCCCCCCUGAGCCCCAGGACUUGAGCAGCAGCGUCUGCAAAGAGGAGAAGAUGCCUAGAGGAGGCUCGCUGGAGAGCGACGGCUGCCCCAAAGAGCCAGCUAAGACUCAGCCCGCGGUCGCUACCGCCGCCACCGCCGCAGAAAAGUACAAACACCAAGGGGAGGGAGAGCGCAAAGACAUUGUUUCAUCCUCCAUGCCAAGGCCAAACAGAGAGGAGCCUGUGGACAGCCAGACGCCCGUGACCGAGAGAGUUAGCUGACUUUACGCAGAGCGGAUUGCAAAGCAAACCAACAA